GCAGUGUCAAUCUAGCGGAAGGGGUGUACGAACAGGGCACAUGUUGUCAAUGUAUUCACCUCGGGAAGGUCUGAGAUAAGGUCAUUGAACGUUCUAGACGGACGGUACCGUAAUGGUACGUACGGGAACCAGAAAUAGCUUUACGUUCUUCAAAAUGCCGGGGACGCUUUCUCGAAAAGCAGAGGCGACUGGAAACGGAAAGAUGGAAACUCGUACGGCCCGCUUUUUUAGUACAAUCCGCAAGCCUGGUAGUUCAUACCUGGAACUCAAUUCAGACUAAUCUGAUGCUGC
rnacentral:RNase_P_RNA from 1 species